rnacentral:rRNA from 1 species
CCUACGGGUGGCAGCAGUGAGGAAUAUUGGUCAAUGGCCGAGAGGCUGAACCAGCCAAGUCGCGUGAGGGAAGACGGCCCUACGGGUUGUAAACCUCUUUUGUCGGGGAGCAAAGCGAACCACGUGUGGUUCAUUGAGAGUACCCGAAGAAAAAGCAUCGGCUAACUCCGUGCCAGCAGCCGCGGUAAUACGGAGGAUGCGAGCGUUAUCCGGAUUUAUUGGGUUUAAAGGGUGCGCAGGCGGAGGUGCAAGUCAGCGGGCACAUUGCGGGGCUCAACCCCGUACUGCCGUUGAAACUGCAGCCCUUGCGUGCGCGAGACGUAGGCGGAUUGCGUGGUGUAGCGGUGAAAUGCAUAGAUAUCACGCAGAACUCCGAUUGCGAAGGCAGCAUACCGGCGCGCAACUGACGCUCAUGCACGACAGCGUGGGUAUCGAACAGGAUUAGAUACCCUGGUAGUC